rnacentral:rRNA from 1 species
UACGUAGGGUGCGAGCGUUGCCCGGAUUUAUUGGGCGUAAAGGGCGCGUAGGCGGCUCGGCACGUCCGUUGUGAAAUCGCCCGGCUCAACUGGGCGGGGUCGGCGGAUACGGCCGAGCUGGAGCAAGCCAGGGGGUAAUGGAAUUCCCGGUGUAGUGGUGGAAUGCGUAGAUAUCGGGAGGAACACCAGUGGCGAAGGCGGUUACCUGGAGCUUUGCUGACGCUGAUGCGCGAAAGCGUGGGGAGCGAGUCCGG